GGGUCAGUAGGUUGGUCGUGCCACCGGUACGUACUGGUCUCACUGAUUCCUCCUUCCUGAAGAACCGUAAUGCCAUUAAUUCUGUGUUGCGGGGAAACAGGACUGUUACUUUGAAAAAAUUAGAGUGUUUAAAGCAAGCUAACGCUUGAAUACAUUAGCAUGGAAUAAUGAAAUAGGACGAUCGAUCCUAUUUUGCCGGUUUCUAGGAUUGACGUA
rnacentral:rRNA from 1 species